CGAGGGGCAGCAGCUUUAUAGCAAUAUAGAGGCUGGCGACCGGCAAACGGGUGCGGAACACGUACACAACCUUCCUUUAAGAGGGGGAUAGCCCAUAGAAAUGUGGAUUAAUACCCCGUAAUAUUAUUGAAGUGGCAUCACUUUAUAAUUAUAGUUACGACGCUUGAAGAUGGGUGUGCGGCUGAUUAGGUAGUUGGCGGGGUAAAGGCCCACCAAGCCUUCGAUCAGUAGCUGAUGUGAGAGCAUGAUCAGCCACACGGGCACUGAGACACGGGCCCGACUCCUACGGGAGGCAGCAGUAAGGAAUAUUGGUCAAUGGACGCAAGUCUGAACCAGCCAUGCCGCGUGAAGGAUGAAGGUCCUCUGGAUUGUAAACUUCUUUUAUAGGGGGCGAAGAAAGGGAAUUCUUUCUCACUUGACAGUACCCUAUGAAUAAGCACCGGCUAACUCCGUGCCAGCAGCCGCGGUAAUACGGAGGGUGCAAGCGUUAUCCGGAUUCACUGGGUUUAAAGGGUGCGUAGGCGGGUUUAUAAGUCAGUGGUGAGAUCCUGGAGCUUAACUCCAGAACUGCCAUUGAUACUAUGGAUCUUGAAUAUGGUGGAGGUAAGCGGAAUAUGUCAUGUAGCGGUGAAAUGCAUAGAUAUGACAUAGAACACCUAUUGCGAAGGCAGCUUACUACGCCUAUAUUGACGCUGAGGCACGAAAGCGUGGGGAUCAAACAGGAUUAGAUACCCUGGUAGUCCACGCCCUAAACGAUGAUUACUCGACGUAUGCGAUACACAGUAUGCGUCU
rnacentral:rRNA from 1 species